UACAUAAGUUGUGCUGGAUUCUGAGUCUC
rnacentral:piRNA from 1 species